UCUAUUAUAGACAUGGGAGGCUCAACAACUAUGCAAAACAGCACUCUAUAGGCUGCUGGGUGUGUGAAACAGGGGAAGGAGAGAGAGAGACAGAGAGAAAAAGAGAGAGCGACAGAGAGAAAAACAGACAGACAGACACACAGAAGGAGAAAGAAAGGAACAGAGAGAGAGAUACUUAUAUUACUAUUAUUUUGCUGUUGUGAGUCAUUCCAAUCUAGUGGUCAACUAUAGGAGGACAACCAAAUAUUGUAUUAAAGGGAUGAACCUCCCACUGGAAUUUUGUUGCUCUGAUGUUAAUGUCCGGGAUCCAAGACGAGACCAAUGGAGACAGUCCGGAGCCGCCAGAGUCUCCCUCCUGUCCGGAGCCGCCAGAGUCUCCCUCCUGUCCGGAGCCGCCAGAGUCUCCCUCUUGUCCGGAGCCGCCAGAGUCGCCCUCCUGUCCGGAGCUGCCAGAGUCACCCUCCUGUCCGGGGCCCACUGCAAGGGUCCCCAGUCCGGGGUCGGCGGCAAGGGUCCCCCACGUCCCGCGCCAGAGCCUCCUCCGCAGAUAUAUGCCCACCCAGACCCUCCCCUAUAAGUUUAGGUUUUGCGGCCGGAGUCCGCACCUUUGGGGGGGGGGGGGGUAUUGUCACGCCCUGACCUUAGAGAUCCUUUUUAUGUCUCAAAUUUUGGUUUGGUCAGGGCGUGAGUUGGGGUGGGCAUUCUAUGUCUGGUGUUCUAUGUUUUCUUUUUCUGUGUGUUUGGCCGGGUGUGGUUGUUUUCUGUUUUGUGUAUGCAACAGAUAGGACUAUUUCGUUUCAUUUACUCUCUUUGGUGUUUUUGUUAUUUCAGUGUUCAGUUUAUUUAUUAAAUUAACAUGAACAUUUC